rnacentral:rRNA from 1 species
UGGGACUGAGACACGGCCCAAACUCCUACGGGAGGGCAGCAGUGGGGAAUCUUGCACAAUGGAGGAAACUCUGAUGCAGCGAUGCCGCGUGAGUGAAGAAGGCCUUUGGGUUGUAAAGCUCUUUCGUCGGGGAAGAAAAUGACUGUACCCGAAUAAGAAGGUCCGGCUAACUUCGUGCCAGCAGCCGCGGUAAUACGAAGGGACCUAGCGUAGUUCGGAAUUACUGGGCUUAAAGAGUUCGUAGGUGGUUGAAAAAGUUAGUGGUGAAAUCCCAGAGCUUAACUCUGGAACUGCCAUUAAAACUUUUCAGCUAGAGUAUGAUAGAGGAAAGCAGAAUUUCUAGUGUAGAGGUGAAAUUCGUAGAUAUUAGAAAGAAUACCAAUUGCGAAGGCAGCUUUCUGGAUCAUUACUGACACUGAGGAACGAAAGCAUGGGUAGCGAAGAGGAUUAGAUACCCUCGUAGUCCAUGCCGUAAACGAUGUGUGUUAGACGUUGGAAAUUUAUUUUCAGUGUCGCAGCGAAAGCGAUAAACACACCGCCUGGGGAGUACGACCGCAAGGUUAAAACUCAAAUGAAUUGACGGGGACCCGCACAAGUAGUGGAGCAUGUGGUUUAAUUCGAAGAUACGCGCAGAACCUUACCAACACUUGACAUGUUCGUCGCGACUCUAAGAGAUUAGAGUUUUCGGUUCGGCCGGACGAAACACAGGUGCUGCAUGGCUGUCGUCAGCUCGUGUCGUGAGAUGUUGGGUUAAGUCCCGCAACGAGCGCAACCCUCACUUUUAGUUGCCAUCAUUAAGUUGGGCACUCUGAAAGAACUGCCAGUGAUAAGCUGGAGGAAGGUGGGGAUGACGUCAAGUCCUCAUGGCCCUUACGUGUUGGGCUACACACGUGCUACAAUGGUAUCUACAACAGGAAGCAAGACUGCGAGGUCAAGCAAAUCCCUAAAAGAUACCUCAGUUCGGAUUGCACUCUGCAACUCGAGUGCAUGAAGCUGGAAUUACU